AGAGUUUGAUCUGGCUCAGGAUGAACGCUAGCGGCAGGCUUAACACAUGCAAGUCGAGGGGCAGCGAGUAAAUUGCUUGCAAUUUAUGUCGGCGACCGGCGGACGGGUGCGUAACGCGUAUGCAACCUACCCAUUACAGGGGGAUAACACUAAGAAAUCGGUACUAAUACCCCAUAACAUCAGAGGAGGCAUCUCCUUUGGUUGAAAACUCCGGUGGUAAUGGAUGGGCAUGCGUUGUAUUAGUUAGUUGGUAAGGUAACGGCUUACCAAGACUACGAUACAUAGGGGGACUGAGAGGUUAACCCCCCACAUUGGUACUGAGACACGGACCAAACUCCUACGGGAGGCAGCAGUGAGGAAUAUUGGUCAAUGGACGCAAGUCUGAACCAGCCAUGCCGCGUGCAGGAAGACGGCCCUAUGAGUUGUAAACUGCUUUUGUACGAGGGUAAACGCAGAUACGUGUAUCUGUCUGAAAGUAUCGUACGAAUAAGGAUCGGCUAACUCCGUGCCAGCAGCCGCGGUAAUACGGAGGAUGCGAGCGUUAUCCGGAUUUAUUGGGUUUAAAGGGUGCGCAGGCGGUCUGUUAAGUCAGCGGUCAAAGCCCGGGGCUCAACCCCGGCCCGCCGUUGAAACUGGCGGUCUCGAGUUGGAGAGAAGUAUGCGGAAUGCGCGGUGUAGCGGUGAAAUGCAUAGAUAUCGCGCAGAACUCCGAUUGCGAAGGCAGCAUGCCGGCUCCACACUGACGCUGAGGCACGAAAGCGUGGGUAUCGAACAGGAUUAGAUACCCUGGUAGUCCACGCAGUAAACGAUGAAUGCUGGCUGUCCGGGGGGCCUGACCCCCUGGGUGCAGAAAGCGAAAGCGAAUAAGCAUUCCACCUGGGGAGUACGCCGGCAACGGUGAAACUCAAAGGAAAUUGACGGGGGGCCCGCACAAGCGGAGGAACAUGUGGUUUAAUUAGAUGAUACGCGAGGAACCUUACCCGGGCUCAAACGGGGAGUGACUCAGGCAGAGACGCCUGUUUCCCACGGGACACUCCCCGAGGUGCUGCAUGGUUGUCGUCAGCUCGUGCCGUGAGGUGUCGGCUUAAGUGCCAUAACGAGCGCAACCCCCGCGUGCAGUUGCUAACAGAUAACGCUGAGGACUCUGCACGGACUGCCGGCGCAAGCCGCGAGGAAGGCGGGGAUGACGUCAAAUCAGCACGGCCCUUACGUCCGGGGCGACACACGUGUUACAAUGGCAGGUACAGCGGGAAGCCACCCGGCGACGGGGCGCGGAACCCGAAAACCUGUCUCAGUUCGGAUUGGAGUCUGCAACCCGACUCCAUGAAGCUGGAUUCGCUAGUAAUCGCGCAUCAGCCACGGCGCGGUGAAUACGUUCCCGGGCCUUGCACACACCGCCCGUCA
rnacentral:rRNA from 1 species